ACAGUUGGCGGCAUGAUUUUCAUAAAUAAUGUCUGCUUGACAAGGUCCAGCUGCUUGUUACCAAACAAGCCCGAGUGGAUACGGAGUGGUGACAGGCGUGGGCUCCACAGUCUCCCCCGAUGUGUUUAGUUGACUCACUGCUCAUUGGAGCAUUUGACAAGUACCGAAAUCCUUGUUUGACGAAUGAGAAGGAUCCUUUAGUUGAAGCAGAGGUCAUUGCUCUGUGCAGAAACAGAGUUAAAAGGAUGUAAACACAUCCUAGGUCUCAACAGAGCCACCUGAGCCCGGACAUGAUGCGUGGCUCUUUUACUUCUGGGAAACACUGCAUAGCCACUUGCCCUACUUGACGGAUGCUUUCAUUUACAGCCAAUUAUCGGCAUGAACUCCACUCCUUUUCCAAAGCCCGUCACCAUAGGCGACCUGCCUCCACCCUGGGGAAUGCAGUGGAACAAGGUCAGUCCAAAUUUGCAGAACCGUACCUGUGAGAGUCCACUCUGUUGAUGACGCUAUUGAAAAUACAUGCGAUUGUCCUCAUGUUCAGUCGAGGGUUUGUGAUUGUAUAUGAUGGACAAGGCCAAGAAAAAAAAUGAAUGAUCGAGUCAAAUGCAAAGUGUCUUGUUCUCCAAUAUUGAUUUUAGAAGUGGGUGCAGCUCUUUAUUUUUACACAAUGAAGAUUUUAACAAUAACAUUACCCUGAACAAUACUGCCUUUUGUAGCGGUACCUUAACAGUAUUCUUAUUGGUACUAUGAUUAAGAAAAACACCCCAGAAAAUAUUGGCAUUAACACUGCUUUAUAUUAUUUUAUUGUUUUGAUGCUGACUCCACACAUCAAAAGAAUCUGCUCCUCAUUACAUUCUGUAGCCUAAACACAAGCCUGCAGUCAACCUUGUUGGUCCUGCUUCAUCUUCAUUUUGUUUUUUUUUCUGUCUUGCUGAUUAAUGGCGGCGACGAUGGCAGGAAGCCGUCAUUGUGAACGUGUUAGAUGAGUAGCACCUAUCAAGAAUGGCUCCUGUUCCCCCAGAGGGGAAAUGUUUACCUGCCGAGCCUGCCCACAAAGCCGCUUGAUUAACGUCAUCAGCGGCCCCACAGGAACACCGUAGUUGCUGUUAUUGACUCGCUGCACCGUUUCCCAGCAUGCCACACACACAAUUUGUACUAUGUGUGAGCUGCAAAAAAGCGGGUUUUGUUUCCCUAGUUUACCGUUUGCCAGUCUUUUCUCUAUGAACUCUGGUCACUGUGCUGUCAUUUGUCGCAUCACGUGGAGCUGGCGGUCGAUCCCAGCUUGUCCCAAUGAUACAGUGCUGCCGAAUGGACACACAUUUGGCAUGAAUUUCCUUCAACAUAAGUGGCUGUCAGAUGGGCCCACAGUGGAGCGCAUUAAAGCCGGCUGUCUUCCUUUGGCUUUUUUUUUUUCUCUCAUUGGCCUGAAUGUGCCUCUUUAAAAAUGGCGGUAACAGCUUUUGUCUUCAGCCAGCUGUUCUCCGGAGACAACCUCGAAGCAGGUGUAAGGGCUUGAUUUGUGUUUUACUAAGGUGCGGCAAUGAAUGACAGUGUGGGGGAUGAGCAAUUACUCUGCACAAACAAAGACAGAUAGUGCCUAAGGGAUCAAGCCGCACGAACAAUUGAGUGUUAUCUACUCUUAACUACUUGGCUUCAUGAUUGUAUUGAAGAAUAAUACAAUUAUCAGUCGUUAAAAAUAAAUAAGGAAACCACAGUGUGUGUGUGUGUGUGUGUGUGUGUGUGUGUGUGU